ACUCGCUUUGGCAGUACAUACUAAAAUUGGAAUGAUACAGAGAAGAUUAGCAUGGCCCCUGCGCAAAGAUGAGACACAAAUUCGUGAAAAAAAAAAAUGAGAG